AUUCUGUAUACUAAUCAUCAGAUGGAUAAAUGUCGAUGGCAGUGAUGAUGUGUGUCGAUGUUGCGACGAUACAUGCUCCAGCUACUCUCCCACCGGUCAAACAAACCUCGGAAGUCUGAUCCCUGAAGAUUUGGUGGCACGUGAAACUGUUACUCUGGGCCCUUUGAUGGUUUUGCCAUACAAGUAGGCGAAGCAUAACAAUCCAGACAAUAAAGGAUUCAAUAUUUGUCUAUCAAUCUCACCCUCCCUGACCAAACUUCAGCGUAAUACUGUAUAGCUUAAUACUAGCAAAACGAUUAUUUUAAUGAUUGUUUAGUAAGGAAUGUUUAUACAACAUAAACAUUAAAGAAACAAGAAUGUUUAGUCUUUACUGUUAAUAAAGCUCUAACAUGGCUCUAAACAAAGCCACACAACUGGUCUGAUGAAACAUCCCCGUAAAUAAAAACAGAUUACACUGAAUGAACAUUACAUGUUGAUGUCAGGAUAGACGCGUAUCAGUGUUUGAAAGAGGAAAAUAAAAUGUGAAUUUCUCUUACCUUCAAAAAGCUGAAUGAAAAUAAGAAUGCAUGCCAAGCUCGUCUUCAUGGCCUUUUCACUUAUGAACUCACUAAUAAAUACCAAAGCUGACUCACAUUGUACUCUUUCCUUCAGUCUUUGUGAGGUUUUGUGGACAGCCUCACUUUAUUUAUUGUUCUUCACCUCUGAGCAGGAAGGGGAAAUCAAAGCAAGAACAGCCGUUGAAACGCUGCAGUUGGUUUUGCACACACUGA